rnacentral:rRNA from 1 species
GACGAACGCUGGCGGCGUGCUUAACACAUGCAAGUCGAACGGAAAGGCCCUGCUUUUGUGGGGUGCUCGAGUGGCGAACGGGUGAGUAACACGUGAGUAACCUGCCCUUGACUUUGGGAUAACUUCAGGAAACUGGGGCUAAUACCGGAUAGGAGCUCCUGCUGCAUGGUGGGGGUUGGAAAGUUUCGGCGGUGGGGGAUGGACUCGCGGCUUAUCAGCUUGUUGGUGGGGUAGUGGCUUACCAAGGCUUUGACGGGUAGCCGGCCUGAGAGGGUGACCGGCCACAUUGGGACUGAGAUACGGCCCAGACUCCUACGGGAGGCAGCAGUGGGGAAUAUUGCACAAUGGGCGGAAGCCUGAUGCAGCAACGCCGCGUGCGGGAUGACGGCCUUCGGGUUGUAAACCGCUUUCGCAUGUGACGAAGCGUGAGUGACGGUAAUGGGUAAAGAAGCACCGGCUAACUACGUG